UAAAAGAAUAAAAGUCUCCUAACAGAAUUUAAUCUUUACAGUAACCAUGACCCUGCCAAGUAAGUACUGUUAUUAUUCUCAUCUUACAGGUGAGGAAACUAAGGCAAACCAGUGAAGUUAAAAGAAUAAAAGUCUCCUAACAGAAUUUAAUCUUUACAGUAACCAUGACUCUGCCAAGUGAGGAAACUAAGGCAAACCAGUGAAGUUAAAAGAAUAAAAGUCUCCUAACAGAAUUUAAUCUUUACAGUAACCAUGACCCUGCCAAGUGAGGAAACUAAGGCAAACCAGGGAAGUUAAAAGAAUAAAAGUCUCCUAACAGAAUUUAAUCUUUACAGUAACCAUGACCCUGCCAAGUAAG